CAAUGUACUGCUAUUUCAGCCAGCAAGUGCAACUCCACAGUUCGCUGCCUACUUCUCUGCCAGCAGCCCGGCUGGCCAGGCUGCAGCCUGAUGGGAAUUCUGUUCCCACAGACACCGGCUUUGUUGCUGCUGUUAAAGGUUCCUGCCCUGUUUGACUUCCAAUCCUGACUUCCUUCAGCGAUGAACAGUACUGUGGAAAUGUAAACUGAAUAAACCCUUUUCUCCCCAGCUUGCUUUUUCGUUGUGGUGUUUCUUCACAGCAAUAAUAACCCUAACUAGGACUGAUGGAUACAUAGGUCAGGAACACAACAUUUGCCUAACAUGUACAGAGCUCUGACUCAGAGAGGAUGGGGGAGGACUCUGGAAGCGUAACCAACCAAGACCUGUGUCUUUAAGGGAGGGGACUUGUAGGAGGAAGAUAAUAGCCGACUGGAGGCCAGUGUAGGAUAUGCAUUUGCAGCUUCCUCUAGAACCAACCCGAAGUCUGCCUCUUCGAGGCCUGAGGACCACCAAAGUUAUGAUGAACUGGACCACAGAGAGAGAGAGAGAGAGAAAGAGAGAGAGAGAGAGAAAGAGAGAGAGAGAGAGAGAGAGAGAGAGAGAGAGAGAGAGAGAACACAGCCACAGCCCCUGGGUCCUCGGAAGGGGGUAUAAAAGGCCUGCCUAUACCCUUAGUAAACGAGUCUGCUUUUGCUUCUCACCUGGCUCCCAAAGUCUGGGUUGUUGGUUCUGUGCCUUCUCAUAACCCCUUCCCCAAAGGGCCUGGACUCGUCCCCUGCAGCAGGGACCUUACACACUAGUAAAGGAACAAGCACCACACUUCCCUCCAGCCCAGUCUAAAGCCUACAGGUGGAAAUAAUUGCUUCUGAAAUACAACCGUACUUCCCAGUGCUGCCUCAGCAGGUUAGCACAAGGCUUCACCCUACAGUCCUGCUGUGCUGAGGUCUGGUAUAGGUCUCACCAGGCUCAGACCAGUGAAUCAUGCACAAGGUCCAUUUCUUUCUAGGGGAGAACCCAGUGAGGUGUCUCCAAGUCUCUACUACCUGUACCACCACCACCAGACUGAGGCUGAAUCAGUCUCCAUCCAUCUGUCUGCUUCCUUCUCUCCUGCAUCUUUUUAAAAGACCCUUGGUGUUGUGUUGGGCCUUCCUUCCUUCUCACCUGGGUUCCUGACAUAACUGAAGCCUUCCUGAGUCAUUACCACCCCGCAUUCACCCUGACCAUGUCUUCCUGCACAGUCCCCUAGCAAACCACAGAAACCAUACUCAAGGCUCCACAGCCGUGUCUGACUCUUCCACGUUACGAUAAACCAAGUGCAUUCCAGUCACAAUGCAGUUGCGUUUUGUUCUAGCCCAUUUUUUUCUGACCACUAUGCCUCAACUCUGGAGCAUUAAUUAGCACCUAUGUAAAUCCAAUAGCUCCCCCUCAAAGGAAGACAGCAGAUACGUCUUCAACUUCUUGGACCACCUUGCAGGACCAGAACAUAGAUAAAGACAGCUAGGACAUACCUUGACCCAAGAUUGCUGCCUCCCCACAAGUACUGGGGAUUGAAACUUGGACUGGCAUAUGUUUCCAUCAACUCUCGUUGCCUGUCCCAAUUCUUUUCUCUGAGUAAAUGUAAGGCUCAGGUCAGUACCCUGAAGACAGGUUAGGGGGGUCACUAGAGCCCUUUAUCUUUUCCUCAUCCCAGGAUUGUAAGUAUUGGGCCGGAUCGGAUGGGACAAGUAUUCUGGAACUUGGAAGUCACAGAAUACUGAGUGUUACACAGCUCGGUUGGGAAGGUAUCCUGGAGCUAGGGAGCCAAGGAUUACCACAGGUCACAGUAAGCUGCUCCGCUGCAAAAGGUCUUCACCCAAAGCUUCCUUCAAGUGUUUUAUUGGAAGAAUCCCAGAGAGUGGCUGCAAGCUGAACAGACACAGGGUUUAUAUAGGGAUUCUUAGGGGGCAGAAUUUUUCCAGGGGGA
rnacentral:lncRNA from 1 species